rnacentral:rRNA from 1 species
CUUGCUCUAGCUGGAUCAGUGGCGAACGGGUGAGUAACACGUGAGCAAUCUGCCCCUGACUCUGGGAUAACUUCGAGAAAUCGAUGCUAAUACCGGAUACGACCCUUCCAGGCAUCUGGUGAGGGUGGAAAGAACUUUGGUCAGGGAUGAGCUCGCGGCCUAUCAGCUAGUUGGUGAGGUAAUGGCUCGCCAAGGCGACGACGGGUAGCCGGCCUGAGAGGGUGACCGGCCACACUGGGACUGAGACACGGCCCAGACUCC